GUAGGGAAUAUUGGACAAUGGGGGGAACCCUGAUCCAGCCAUGCCGCGUGGAGGAAGACUGCCCUCUGGGUUGUAAACUCCUUUUAUAUGGGAAGAACCGUGCUCAUUAAUGAGUGACCUGACGGUACCAUAGGAAUAAGCACCGGCUAACUCCGUGCCAGCAGCCGCGGUAAUCCGGAGGGUGCAAGCGUUAUCCGGAUUCACUGGGUUUAAAGGGUGCGUAGGCGGAUAAAUACGUCAGUGGUGAAAUCAACGGGCUCAACCUGUUAACUGCCAUUGAUACUGUGUAUCUUGAAUAUGAGAGAGGUAGGCGGAAUGUUGCAUGUAGCGGUGAAAUGCUUAGAUAUGCUACGGAACACCGAUUGCGAAGGCAGCUUACUAUUUCGUAAUUGACGCUGAGGCACGAAAGCGUGGGUAGCGAACAGGAUUAGAAACCCAGUAGUCC
rnacentral:rRNA from 1 species